GGGAGCAAACAGGAUUAGAUACCCUGGUAGUCCACGCCGUAAACGAUGAGCACUAAGUGUCGGAGUAAAAUUCGGUGCUGCAGUUAACACAGUAAGUGCUCCGCCUGGGGAGUACGGUCGCAAGACUGAAACUCAAAGGAAUUGACGGGGACUCGCACAAGCGGUGGAGCAUGUGGUUUAAUUCGACGCAACGCGAAAAACCUUACCAGGCCUUGACAUCCCUUUGACGGGUGUAGAAAUACGCCUUUUCCCUUCGGGGGACAGAGGAGACAGGUGGUGCAUGGUUGUCGUCAGCUCGUGUCGUGAGAUGUUGGGUUAAGUCCCGCAACGAGCGCAACCCUUAUCAUUAGUUGCUAACAUUAAGUUGAGAACUCUAAUGAGACUGCCAGCGACAAGUUGGAGGAAGGUGGGGAUGACGUCAAAUCAUCAUGCCCCUUAUGGCCUGGGCUACACACGUGCUACAAUGGCCGGUACAAAGAGUGGCGAUACCGCGAGGUGGAGCAAAUCUCAAAAAACCGGUCUCAGUUCAGAUUGUAGUCUGCAACUCGACUACAUGAAGUCGGAAUCGCUAGUAAUCGUAAAUCAGCAUGUUACGGUGAAUACGUUCUCGAGUCUUGUACACACCGCCCGUCACACCAUGAGAGUUUGUAAUACCCGAAGCCGGUGGCCUAACCGAAAGGGGGGAGCCGUCUAAGGUAGGACAAAUGAUUGGGGUGAAGUCGUAACAAGGUAUCCCUACGAGAACGUGGGGAUG
rnacentral:rRNA from 1 species